GAAUGGAUCAUUAUCAUACCUUUAUUAUUUAUAAAACAACCACAAUCAACCUCCUUUCUUUUCUUUUUGAAUCUCUUUGCUUUAUGCAAUGAGAGGAAGAAGAAUUGAAAGAGAACCAUUGCCUCAGAUGAAUGACAAAAUGACACUCAAAGUGUGAUGAUGUCAUUUGGAAGAGGUUGUCUCACUUUCUUGUUUCUUUGAUUGAAACUUUGAUAUCCUUUCGUCACAACAGAUGAAAAGAAAUCAAUAUUCCAAUGAGAGAUCAAGAAAGAAACAAAACCAAUCAAACAAACCAAAAACCAUUUUCAAAAACCUUUAUUUUGCCUUUGCUCUUCUCACGAAGAAAAAAGGUCAAAAGAAACCAAAACAAAAAAACAAAAAGUUGAGUGUAUCAACUCUUGACAAUGGAUAUCUUGGCUUUCGCAACGAUGAAGAACGCAGCAAACUGCGAUACGUAGUGUGAAUUGCAGAACUUCGUGAAUCAUCAAAACUUUGAACGCAUGUUGCGCUGUUGAGCUUCACCGCUCUUCAGCAUGCCUAUUUGAGUACGGUUUUUCUUUCUCCCUCAUUUCUUUCUUCUUUUUCAUUCUCGGAUGAAAGGAAGAAGAAAUGGAGUUUGGGUUGUCCAAGAGAAGAAAUGAACAUUAAACCGUUUGUUGAUCUCUUUGUCACCUGAAAAUAGAAAUGAAAACAAAGCAAUGAUGAGAAGAAUCAAAUGUCUCGUUCAUCUGUUUCAUCAAAUAUCAAAGAGAAUAUGAGAAACAUAUCAAAACAAGCACAUCCCAAACAUCAAAGUGAAUGGGUUUGUCUGUCAUUCUUUUUCUCCUCUUUUGAACAAUCAAUCCUGUUGUUGUGGGAAAACCUGCAAUGACAAGAUUGAAAGUGAGAGAGUUGCAUUGAAUGCUUUGACAGAUAUUGAUCUUUCUUUUGAUUGUGAAGGUUGUGUGAUGUGUUUCUUCUCUCUUUGUCCAUUUGAAGAAACAUACCAAAAGAUGAGCAUCAGACAAUGGUUCAUGUCUUGUUGAAUUGUUCUCAUGAUCAUUCAAAAUAUGUUUCUUCAAGAAACAACAAACCAAAUUAAAACACACGAUCUCAAAUUAGGUAAGAUGACCCACUGAACUUAAGCAUAUCAAUCAGUGGAGGAAAAGAAACUAACGAGGAUUCCCUCAGUAACGGCGAGUGAACUGGGAACAGCUCAAGUUUAAAAUCUGGAGCCUCUCCAACGUGUGUCAGCUUGUUAAAGGGCUGAUGUGUGUGGACAAACAGACUGGCUUCCGAAUUGUAGUCUUGCGAUCAAUCUCCAUCCACACAGAACCAACAGAGUCAAAGUCCAUUGGAAAAUGGCAUCAAGGAGGGUGACAAUCCCGUUCAUGGCUCGAAUGGUUGUUGUUCUGUGAAACAGUGGUUGUUGGAUGAUCGAUGAGUCGGGUUGUUUGAGAAUGCAGCCCAAAGCCGGGUGGUAAAUUCCAUCUAAAGCUAAAUACAGGCGAAAGACCGAUAGCGCACAAGUACCGUGAGGGAAAGAUGCAAAGAACUUUGAAAAGAGAGUUAAAAGUGCUUGAAAUUGUUGAGAGAGAAGCGUUUGAGGAUCCAAUUCGUUCAUGAUCUUUUGAUCUUGCAACACACCGAGUGAUAAAUUCAGCUCAUUCUUGUUGAGAGCAUUUGGUUGUGAGUGUGGUUCUGGUGGUGUUGCAGACGUUAAAACUCUGUGAUAUCAUAACUUCAGGAUUGCAUUCAUGAUCAGAUGACAAACUUUUGACAAAUGGGUGCACUUUUAUCAUUUUGGUGAGCCAGCAUCAGUUUUUCUUAUCAAAGAUUUCAUACAUCUUAUGGACAGGACAAAACUCACAGGUUAUUCGAAGUAGUCUCAUUGUCUCACGACAAAGGGAUGACACCUGUGCGGUCUUUAUUACUGUCAGAAAGACUGAGGAAAUUGUAAACGUGUGGCCGCAAGGCAAUCUCUGAAUCAUCUGGGAGAUCUUUUGGGGCAACAGCUGUUUUGUUUGGGUUGGUGGUGGGUGUGGAGAAACGGGUUUCUUUCGUUUGGGGGGUCAAACUUUCAAGCGAGGGAGAUCACGCCUUCAUGUUUGCUGUCAGUUCUCAGAUGGUUGUUGUGCGUCUGUGGGUGAAAACAUAAACAUUCACAACGUCAAGCUUGGAAGCAAGUCUUUCUCGUGACAGAAGAAGAUGACACGUUCAAGAUGCUAUUGGCAACAAAGGGCCUCAAUCGACCCGUCUUGAAACACGGACCAAGGAGUCUACCAUAUGUGCGAGCAUGAUGGUUCUUUCAUAAAAGAAAACCAUGAUCUCAUCAGAGAAUGCGAAAUGAAGGUGAAAAUGUGGGAAGAGCUGUUCUCACGAACAGUUCAGCACCACAGGCCGAUUCGGAUCUCGUUUGUUCUUGCAAAGGAAUGGACGGUGAAGAAAUUGAGUCAGAGCACAUCUGUUAGGACCCGAAAGAUGGUGAACUAUGCCUGCAUAGGAUGAAGCCAGAGGAAACUCUGGUGGAGGUCCGCAGCGAUACUGACGUGCAAAUCGUUCGUCAAAUGUGGGUAUAGGGGCGAAAGACCAAUCGAACCAUCUAGUAGCUGGUUCCCUC
rnacentral:misc_RNA from 1 species